UACGUAGGGUGCGAGCGUUAAUCGGAAUUACUGGGCGUAAAGCGUGCGCAGGCGGUGAUGUAAGACAGGUGUGAAAUCCCCGGGCUUAACCUGGGAACUGCAUUGUGACUGCAUCGCUGGAGCUGCGGCAGAGGGGGAUGGAAUUCCGCGUGUAGCAGUGAAAUGCGUAGAUAUGCGGAGGAACACCGAUGGCGAAGGGCAAUCCCCUGGGCCUGCACUGACGCUCAUGCACGAAGCGU
rnacentral:rRNA from 1 species